AAAUUCUGCUAAGAUUUUCUUCAAAUUAGAUUCCUCCCCUGCCAUCAGAUGAUGACUGGUAAAUGUAGAGUCCUUUUUCCACAUAAUAAAGAACCGUGGAUUGGUGUCCUUUACAUGCUGCGAAAAGGCCUUGUAGAAGGUAUAUGAACAUGAAUUUCAAAUUGAAGUAUCAGUGAAAAUUCCAUUUUUUAAGGUACAUUAUAUUUUGGACUUAUGUGGUUACCUCGGAGAACAAAGAGAUUUGGUGGGUAAUUAGGUAAUGGACAGACACAAAUAAUUUUGAUUUUAGCUCCUGGAACAUUAUCUUAUUUUGCAGGAUAUAUUGA
rnacentral:lncRNA from 1 species